GGCCCAGAACAGCCCAGGUUGGGGACUUCAGAGGUUCACCCACCCUGUUCUUAUGGCUGCAGUGGCUAAUUUUAAACCUGCUAUUUCCUCUAGCCUAGAUGAUAACUUCAGUGAUGUUCCCCUUUCACAGCGGAAGACAAAGCCUGGUAGUUAGCAGAGCCAAAGCCUGAGCUCAGCAAGUUGGACAGGGAGAAGAUCUGAACUUUACCCCAAUAUCAUAUGUCUAAAUUCAUAUGUUUCUGGAGUAAUCUGUUUACCUGUUAUUGUCUUCAAUUCAGUUCUGUAGUCCUUGUGGACUAUGUUGCGAUAGACUGAAUUGUUUUCUGUCUUUAUCAAGCUUCAUGUGGAAAUGGUGUGCUAAAUGGACUCUGAAUGACUCUGAUUUGCAGUUAGCAGUUCGUAAUGGUUACUACUGCCAUCCCCAAAACACUAUUGUUGCAGUUAGCGCCAAUUUAAUCUGGGUCCUAGAAAAUAUAUGCUGAAACUUGUAAGAGAGCAACACUGAUUCGAAUAAUGUAUUGGAGAAAUAUGGCCAGUCCAAAUGGAUGCCAAAAGCUUUCAGCUUCUUUUGGCCCCUGGGAUUUUGGAACUCAGUGCUUUUAACUUCUCACCUUUAGAAAUAAUUUUUUUUUCUCUUCAUUAUGUUCUGAUAGAUGUGUGGGUUUUGGUGCUUCUUUCCUCCUCCUCUUCUUUCUCCACAGAGAAAGGAAGGCGCACAUACGGAGGAAGUGUUUUGGUUUUCUGUGUCAUAAGGACAGUUCCUUCAUUCUAUGCUGUGUGGUCAAAUGUAGCUUCUUACACUGGCCUGCUGACUAUAAGGGUUUUCUUCACAAAAAGUAUGUCAGCAAGCAUGAUAUGUCCUGCAGCAUCCCGCAGUGUUGAGGGUGUGUAAAUGACAACAGCUAGAAGGUGUGCAGUUAAACAUGAAGUAACAGGGAUUCAACAAAACAAGUAUAAAGAGAUUCAAGCCCUGAGCCCAUUUUUGUAUGGCUUUUAGACAAGUGGGCAAAGAUACUUGCAAAGGAACCUUUUAUCCAAUCAAAAAGUCCUUUCACUUCCCUAUGUAUAUUUUUGAGGGACAUAUAGAUGUAGUAAGAAAUACUUUGAUAAUGAAGUCAAGAGGAAAUACAGUCAUACCUACUAAGAUAUGUGUGUAUGACUAGUAGAGUUGUUAUGUGUAUGCCAUUAAAAGGAAAUAUAUCUGUACAUAUUGUUGCCAAGCUCCUAACAGUGCUUUUUAGUUUUCAUUCUUCUACAUGGACAGUGUCAUUUUCCUUCCCUACAGAUUAAUCUUACUGGAGAAAAGCCCAAAUAAUACAAAAUCUCACUGUAUGGAAGGUUUAUUUGAGUGGGGCAGAAAACCUGUAUUGCAGCAGGAGGCAAAAUACAGCAUGUGAUGUGGUUCCUGUCUUCUGUCAGAAAGGAUUAUGAGUAACCAGUGAAUUUGAAAGUUUGGAUCUGAAAAGAUGUUAUCAGCCGAAAUUCAUAGGUGUAAGUUAAGUGAAGGAUUGCUUAUUUACUUCUGGGAAUGUAAGCAUAAACAUACUGAUUU